AUGCAAGUCGAACGGUGAACCAGGAGCUUGCUCUUGGGGAUCAGUGGCGAACGGGUGAGUAACACGUGAGCAACCUGCCCCUGACUCUGGGAUAAGCGCUGGAAACGGCGUCUAAUACUGGAUACGAACCACGAAGGCAUCUUCAGUGGUUGGAAAGAUUUUUUGGUUGGGGAUGGGCUCGCGGCCUAUCAGCUUGUUGGUGAGGUAAUGGCUCACCAAGGCGUCGACGGGUAGCCGGCCUGAGAGGGUGACCGGCCACACUGGGACUGAGACACGGCCCAGACUCCUACGGGAGGCAGCAGUGGGGAAUAUUGCACAAUGGGCGGAAGCCUGAUGCAGCAACGCCGCGUGAGGGAUGACGGCCUUCGGGUUGUAAACCUCUUUUAGCAGGGAAGAAGCGAAAGUGACGGUACCUGCAGAAAAAGCGCCGGCUAACUACGUGCCAGCAGCCGCGGUAAUACGUAGGGCGCAAGCGUUAUCCGGAAUUAUUGGGCGUAAAGAGCUCGUAGGCGGUUUGUCGCGUCUGCUGUGAAAUCCCGAGGCUCAACCUCGGGCCUGCAGUGGGUACGGGCAGACUAGAGUGCGGUAGGGGAGAUUGGAAUUCCUGGUGUAGCGGUGGAAUGCGCAGAUAUCAGGAGGAACACCGAUGGCGAAGGCAGAUCUCUGGGCCGUAACUGACGCUGAGGAGCGAAAGGGUGGGGAGCAAACAGGCUUAGAUACCCUGGUAGUCCACCCCGUAAACGUUGGGAACUAGUUGUGGGGUCCAUUCCACGGAUUCCGUGACGCAGCUAACGCAUUAAGUUCCCCGCCUGGGGAGUACGGCCGCAAGGCUAAAACUCAAAGGAAUUGACGGGGACCCGCACAAGCGGCGGAGCAUGCGGAUUAA
rnacentral:rRNA from 1 species